rnacentral:rRNA from 1 species
GUGGGGAAUUUUGGACAAUGGGGGCAACCCUGAUCCAGCCAUGCCGCGUGUGUGAAGAAGGCCUUCGGGUUGUAAAGCACUUUCGGCCGGAACGAAAUCGCGUGCGUGAAUAGCGUGCGUGGAUGACGGUACCGGAAGAAGAAGCACCGGCUAACUACGUGCCAGCAGCCGCGGUAAUACGUAGGGUGCGAGCGUUAAUCGGAAUUACUGGGCGUAAAGCGUGCGCAGGCGGCUCCGCAAGUCAGGCGUGAAAUCCCCGGGCUCAACCUGGGAAUGGCGCUUGAAACUGCGAAGCUAGAGUGUGGCAGAGGGAGGUAGAAUUCCACGUGUAGCAGUGAAAUGCGUAGAUAUGUGGAGGAAUACCGAUGGCGAAGGCAGCCUCCUGGGCCAACACUGACGCUCAUGCACGAAAGCGUGGGGAGCAAACAGGAUUAGAAACCCGAGUAGUCC